GUUGUCCGGAUUAUUGGGCGUAAAGCGCGCGCAGGCGGAUUGGUCAGUCUGUCUUAAAAGUUCGGGGCUUAACCCCGUGAUGGGAUGGAAACUGCCAAUCUAGAGUAUCGGAGAGGAAAGUGGAAUUCCUAGUGUAGCGGUGAAAUGCGUAGAUAUUAGGAAGAACACCAGUGGCGAAGGCGACUUUCUGGACGAAAACUGACGCUGAGGCGCGAAAGCCAGGGGAGCGAACGGGAUUAGAUACCCCGGUAGUCCUGGCCGUAAACGAUGGGUACUAGGUGUAGGAGGUAUCGACCCCUUCUGUGCCGGAGUUAACGCAAUAAGUACCCCGCCUGGGGAGUACGACCGCAAGGUUGAAACUCAAAGGAAUUGACGGGGGCCCGCACAAGCGGUGGAGUAUGUGGUUUAAUUCGACGCAACGCGAAGAACCUUACCAGGUCUUGACAUUGAUGGACAGAACUAGAGAUAGUUCCUCUCCUUCGGAAGCCAGAAAACAGGUGGUGCACGGUUGUCGUCAGCUCGUGUCGUG
rnacentral:rRNA from 1 species